UUUAAGUGCAACCAUGAGUUUUUGCGCCCAACUUUUAUUGUUUAUUUUAUUUAAUUUUUUAUAAUUAAUAUUUUUAUUAUUAUGAGAUGAUAAAACAUAAAUAGUACUUUGCUCGUGACUUAUAUUUUUAAUUUUUUUAAAAAAAAUUUCGAAUAAGACGGACGAUUAAAGUUGGGCUCGAAAAAUCAUGGCUGUAGUAGCU
rfam:Oryza barthii chromosome 1, whole genome shotgun sequence.